rnacentral:lncRNA from 1 species
AGGGGAAGCCCCAGUAGAGGGAGGAGGAGCCUGGAGAUGCUGCUGGGAAGGACUGGACCAGACUUCCAUCCCUCUAACCUCUGCCCAGCCCAAGCAGCAGCCUGCAAUGAAUGUUUGUGCUGAGGACCGAGACCAGCUGUGUCAAUGUUAACUGCUGGUUCCAGGAUACUCUUUCCCAGGUGGAUGAGGGUGAAAACAAUAAAGAAUGUCACUCAUUGCUUCAGGGAAUUCCUGAAAACCAAUUAUCCAGAGCAGGUGAUGCUGGCUGUCUGUCCUGGGGACACGGACACUGAGGGUGGCUGAGUCAGCUCAUAGGAGGCCACGGAUCCUACAGGAGAGAAAACGGGAGAGAAAAGGCUUGAAACUGAGGAGCUGAACUCCAAGUAGUAUGAUGUCCUGCCCAUGUGGCCAUUCCUUGUCCUGCGUGGAGAUGGCCAGGGACUGACUUACAAUGGCGACUGAGGGAUUAUUCUGAGAUCUAAGGUGACACCGUAAGGCUGGCACACAUGCAGGGACCUGCCAUUGCUUCUGAGUGGUGCUUUCCACAAUCAAACUUCACCCUUGUCAUGUGCACACGGAGUGUUGAAAGACUCAGGAGAUGCUGUCCCUGAUUCCCUGGUCUGCAGACUGCUGGUGCCAAUGGAGGAAAUUUUUCUCUUCUCUUUGUGACUCAUGCCUGCCUCAAUACCAGGACCAGCGUACAGUGGUGACUCCUGCACCAAAGUCAGAGACAGAAGAACAUCCACCCAUCAAAUGUUAAUCCAGACCCACUGUGGUCUGGGACACGUUCCAUGCGGUGAAUUCAGCAGGAACAAGACACAGCCUUCUUGAAGUGAGUUGUUCAUCGUGCUGGUUUGGCUGUGCAGGAAAACUGGGUUUGCAGACCCAGCAGACAGUCCCUGUCACCUUCCACCUGAGCACUGUCUUCUAUAUUCACCGAAAAGACUGGUGCCUGUGAUUCCCAGGUCCUGCUCAGCUGGGAUUGACCAUGUGACUCAGGCCUGAUCAGUGGGGUGUGAGAUCAGUGGGUGAAAUUCUUCUUAGGAAAGCUUUGCUCUUGUGAAAGAGCACUAGAUUCAUGAGGCCCUUUUCUCCUUGAAUAUGGGAGUGAUAGCUGGAGCUGCAGCAGCCACCCUGAGGUCACACAUCAGCAGGGAUGAAAAUAAAGCCAAUAUCAUAGGGAUGGUGGGACAAAAAGUGAGAAAGACCCUGGUGUCUUCGUGAAAGUGGUGGGUAUUAUUGCAGCGAGAAAUACACCCUUAGCUGUUUGUGUCUGUUUUUUAUGUGUGAUUCUGUGGUAAAAAAGCAUCCAUGACCAAUUAAGUAAAUAUUUAACACCAAUCAAUUAAUAAAAUUAACAAUAGGCAAAGAUUCCUACAGUUGUAAAUGCUAUGGGGAUAAUUAAAAAGAUUUAGGCAGAAAAUAACAGACAGGUUGUAUUAUAAGAGCCUGGGGACAUCUUAAUGGGGAAGUGUCUCUGGAACUGCUGUCAGGACUGACAGAGAAAAAUGAGUCCUGGGAUUUGUGUUGGAAACAGUGGAGUCAGGCCCCUGUGGAAAGAGUCUGGCAUGUGUGAGGACCUGAGAGGUCAGCGGCAAACCUGAAAGGGGUCCUGGAUUCAGGCCAUUUCGGCUAAUUGUGCCAUUUUAAUAAAUUAGUAAUUUGGGGGCAGGAGUCAUGUGUGGUCAGGUGUGGUGAAGGGAAAUUUACAGGUAAUUAAUCAAGUUCUUUGGCAGCUGCUUAGCACAUAUAGGGGCUUCCAGGAUGGUGCUGCUGGGGCAGUGACAGGAGAGUCCCCGGUGGGUUGAGCCCAGCCCACUGACCCCUCCCUAGUUCACCUGGGGCUGAAGACACUCAGGGGAGUGGUUCCUGGUUUCUUACCUCCACCUGGUGCCCACCAUGCUGCUCUGUGGGGACCCCCACUGCUGUCUGUGUUUCUGGUCCUGGGCUCGCUGUCUUGAAUUCCAUGUGGGUGACCAGCACUGCUUUCCCUAAAAUUCUACAGAUACAGGACCUAGGAACACAAAAUCUGCAAACUGCACUUAACACAAAAGGGAAGGGGCUGAGAUGGGGAGGAACAAUUCCAAGGUCACUUGGCAAGGAGAGAGAAAAGGAAGACGAGAAAUGCUCUGGACCUGUAACAGUAAGUCUUCUGAGUGUCCUGGGACCAGCCUGCCAGGGAGGGCAUGGGAAAAUCCUCAGCCCAAAUUCUCAGCCCAAAUCCCUCCCUAUGGAGACGGCAUCUCAGUCAGCUCUUUUAGCUGCCUGUAGGGGGCGCGCCUGCCACACUCUGGGUUGAAAGGGAGAGAAAAGACGGUUGAUUCCCAGCUCAGGAACCAAGCUGUCUAGAGACAUUUUCUUUUCUUUUUUUUUUUUAAUUUAUUAUUAUUAUACUUUAAGUUUUAGGGUACAUGUGCACAAUGUGCAGGUUAGUUACAUAUGUAUACAUGUGCCAUGCUGGUGCGCUGCACCCACUAACUCGUCAUCUAGCAUUAGAUAUAUCUCCCAAUGCUAUCCCUCGCCCCUCCCCCCACCCCACAACAGUCC